rnacentral:rRNA from 1 species
UCGAGGAUCUUUAGCAAUGGACGAAAGUCUGACUAUGCGACGCCGCAUGAGGGAUGAAGGCUUUCGGUUCGUAAACCUCUUUCGAUGGGAAAGAAAAUCUUUACGGAAACGUAGAGACUGACGGUACCCAGAGAAGAAGCCACGGCCAACUCCGUGCCAGCAGCCGCGGUAAUACGGGGGUGGCGGGCGUUACUCGGAUGUAUUGGGUGUAAAGGGCAGGUAGGCGUCCUUUCAAGUUAGAAGUGAAAUCCUUUGGCUCAACCAAAGAACUGCUUCUAAAACGGAAAGGAUUGAGGCCAGAAGAGGAGAGCGGAAUUCCCGGUGUAAGGGUGAAAUCUGUAGAUAUCGGGAGGAACACCAGAGGCGAAGGCGGCUCUCUGGUCUGGCCCUGACGCUAAGCUGCGAAAGCUAGGGGAGCAAACA